rnacentral:rRNA from 1 species
UACGUAGGGGGCAAGCGUUGUCCGGAUUUAUUGGGCGUAAAGGGCGUGUAGGCGGCCUGAAAAGUCUGCUGUGAAAACUCGAGGCUCAACCUCGAGAUGUCGGCGGAAACUGUCUGGCUAGAGUCCGGAAGAGGAGAGUGGAAUUCCUGGUGUAGCGGUGAAAUGCGCAGAUAUCAGGAAGAACACCUAUGGCGAAGGCAGCUCUCUGGGACGGUACUGACGCUGAGACGCGAAAGCGUGGGGAGCGAACAGG